UACCACUUUGGUCAGUGGAUGGUC
rnacentral:siRNA from 1 species